rnacentral:lncRNA from 1 species
UUUAAAAAAAAGAAAAAAAAGGUUAAGGGGCAAAAGUUUCUAAAGGGUGUUUGGUUUGAUAUAAUUAUAUAUACAGCAUACUUAUCUACGCAUGUAGUUGGAGAUAUAAUAGUUAUAACUAUAAAUAUUUUGUUUUGAUGGAUGCAAUAGAAAGUACUAUAAUUAUAUAUAAUUUGUUUAGUUGCGUGUAGUUGAAAAAGAGCUUUGGUAAAAUUUUAUCACUUUAUAUAUAUAUUUUGUGGUGAGAUUUUCUAUGAUAUUUAAGAAAAUUUUAGUUUUUGUUUAAAAAGUAAUUCUUAAUGUAAGCUUUACCUUUUGUUUAAAAUUAUUCUCCUCAGUUUUGUAGCUAAAGUUACGGUCAACGUAAAAUUAGUUUGAACUACUGCAGUUGAACUUCUUCCAGCAAUUCUAACCGCUACAGUUGAAUUAAAAUGUGUUGAUCCAAAUGUCGAAUCUGAAUUUGUAUAUAAUUAUAA